UCUAACUACCGUGUCUAGAAAAACCUUGCCAAGGAAGCUCGGGUUCUAGAGAUUCAAGCAAGGAAUGUUGCUCUUGGGAAGAAUGUAAAAGACCCUGCAGCUACAAAGGCAUCUAAGGGUAAGGAGGCAUCAUAUUAUAGGGUUACAUGCAAGGAUAAUGGAAGAGGAAUGCCACAUGAUCAUCUGCUGUUUGUGAGCGUUUGUGGGAGUUACUGCUGUGAACAAAGUAUGUAUUGAAACAGACACGUGGGAAAUUUGGUCUUUGCGCAAAGAUGGCAUUGAUUUGGUCCAAGAUGAAAUCCAGAUUGUCAUUGAAAGGAACUGGACAAUGUACCGAGUGUGUAGUUCUUGAAUAGUUGUGACAGAUGUUCUCCUAAGUUUCACCUCAUUCAUGCGUUGAAAGCAAACUUAGUUAAUGCUGAGAAGGUUGCUGUAUCUGGGAAGAAGAGGAGCCAAAAACUUUAUAGGAGGCACUCCGGCAGUGGAGACUUUUGAUCAACUGCAACAGAGAAUUCCUGAAAGAAUCAUUGAGCAUGCUGUCCGUGGCAUGCUUCCCAAAGGGAGGCUUGGUAGACAACUAUUUACACAUCUUAAGGUAUA